ensembl:rRNA 5S_rRNA 5S ribosomal RNA
GCUUACGGCCACACCCCCGCCUGGUUCACGCCCGAUCUCGGAAGCUAAGAUAGGUUGGGCCUGGUUAGUACUUGGAUGGGAGACCGCCUGGGAAUACCAGGUGCUGUAAGCU